AGAGUCACAACAACAACACGUGCAGAUCCUGCAGAUGACAGCUGUUUAUAUCACUUUUAACAACAUGUUUUUCAGCGAAUCUGCAAAUAAUCCGACACACGGUCCGAUGAAACGCUGGAGUCGAGUGUGACGCGACUCACCUAAUAAGUGGUGUCUUGUUGGUUGUAAACUCGUCCAGCUGAAGCAGAGCUCUGGGACGUGUGGACAGACAUUGACUGUAAUGAUGGACAUCUGCUCAGGGACAGUCUGUGCAAAGGUAUAACCACUGCGGGUCACGGUGCUGGAAGCUCCAGGGGGAGACCGUACUGAUAUCCCCCUUCUUCAGGCACGCCUUCACACACUCCACCAUUCACUCAUAUCGCAGAGACCUGGCUGGGAUCGAACCAGCAACCUCUAAACC